GCUCGCGCCAUCACUGCGCCGCCGCCGCUGCCGCCGGUGCAGCCGCCGCGACCCCGCACCCGCCCUGCCCCGCCGCGCCUGCGGAGACUCGGGGAAGUGCCGGGCGGGCACGGAGCGGUCUCCGCGUCCUCGAAUCUGCCCUUUAAGUUGUUUUCUGGACGUGACCUUAAGUCACCCAGAACUAACUGGGGCGCCUGGUCCAGCGGUCGAAGGGGAACCGCAGGGUCUCUGCCUGACCGAAAUGGUAACCUGGCAGCAGGGGAAGGUGGCGAGAGGUUCUAGAAAUCGCCUGAGAACUUUGCGCCAUCGGCAGCUCCUGCCUAAAAUCGUCGGGAGCUGCUAAAAUCGUCUUUAGGAAGGCUGGCAGCCAAGUUUGACAUCCCAGCGUUCCAUACAAGGAUGGACGGUGACUUGGGAGGCAUGUGGGAUCUUAGCUCCCUGACCAGGGAUCGAACCUGCACCCCCUGCAUUGGGAGGCGAAGUCCCAACCACUGGACCGCCAGGGAAGUCCCAGCGUUCAACAGAAGAUGGCCAGCUAUUGUCAAGCUAUACUGAAGAGAGGAAAAAACAAUAAACAAAAAACCCCGGCUUUUAUAAAAAUAAAAGAAUCUUCUGUAGGGGUGGUUCUUCUUGAAGACAGACAGAAAUACCUACUGGAAAACCUCAAAAGAAGCUCUAGGGUCGUCAUUUUCUGACCAGAUGCAAGAUGUUACAUUUUCUUAGUAUGAAAGAAUAUACUUUGUAACAUUCCAAAUAUGCUAUUAUCACUCACAUUACCAGUAUUUCUAUUUAGUUUUUGAGAUUUAAAUUGUCAAAGCUUUUAAAACCUGUUUGUGUUCGUGCAUUAGAUGUUGCCAACGUUUGUAUAAAUAAAUGCUCUAAAAAUUAUCCUUUACAGAUUCAUGCAGAAGAGUGGUUGCCAGUUUGGGAACUCACACUCUAUUGUCAACACUUGAAAAAUCCCAAGUAAUAUUAGAUAUUCACCUGAGAUAAGACUCUGCAAGAUAGGUAAAAAACAUCAAAUCUAUUUGCUUUAAUUAACAUGACAUUAACUCACAUACCUUGGGUACUAUGGUUUUCAGUUACACAUGUCUAAUUUAAGCAUAUUUAUUAUUUACAUAGAUAAUACAUUCACAUGGCUAGAAAUCAAAACAAGAUAAAAGAUACACAGUGAGAUGUCUUGCUCCCAACCCUAUCCUCAGCCACCCCAUCCAUACCUCUCUUUUGUUCCAUAUAGGUAACCACUUUGGUUGUUUCCUUGCAUAUCCUUUAAAAAUAACUUUUAUGCCAAUAUAACUAUAGACUCUGAUUUCUUCCCUUUUUGUACAAAAGAUAGUAUAAACACUAUUCUGCAUGUUCUUAUUUCCCUUCACAAUACAUCCUGCAAAUCUUACUGUGUUCCAUUGUGUAGAUGCAUCACAGUUUAUUUAACCAGUUCCCUCAUGAUGAAAACUGGGUGGUUUCCAAUAUUUUGCUACAAUGAAUCCUCUUGUGUAUGUAAUUUUGUUUAUGAGCAUGUGUAUCUGUAGGAUAAAAAUCCCAGAAAUGUGAAGGCUGUAAUUUUGAUAACUAUGACCACACUGCCCCCUAUAGGGAAUAUAUCAUUUUGCAGUUUCACCAGCCAUGUGUUAGAGGUCCAGUUUUUCCACAGCCUCACUAACUUGAUUUUUCAAAACUAAAAAGAAAUUUUAUAAAAGUAGUUGGGUUGUUAGAUAAAUAUUCAAAACACUGGGACAAUGCUGUGUGUGUUGGGGGGAGGGGCGGAAAUGAGAGCAAUUUUUAAAUAACAAAGGAGUGGAACAUUUGGUACAGAAGAAUAGUGACUUGAAUAUGUUUUACUUACCCGUUCCUUAAUUUUUUCGGUCAGAAAUGGUUUAAUCAUGGAAAAAACAGCAUGGAAAAUUAUUGGCUCAUUUAUCAAAUGGAUACCA